rnacentral:rRNA from 1 species
UUCCCUCAGUAACGGCGAGUGAAGAGGGAAGAGCUCAGUUUUGAAAUCUGGCAGUCAUUCCACUGUCCGAGUUGUAAAUUGAAGAGAAUGUCAUCCACACUGGACCAUGUCUAAAUUGUAAUAAUCCACAGUCCUUUGAUGGAGUAUCAGAGAGGGUAAUAAUCCCGUCUUUAAUGUGGACCACCAGUGUUUAUGUGAUGCACUCUCUCAGAGUCGAGUAGUUUGGGAAUGCUGCUCUAAUGGGAGGUAAACUCCUUCUAAAGCUAAAUAUUGGCGAGAGACCGAUAGCGAACAAGUACCGUGAGGGAAAGAUGAAAAGAACUCUGAAAAGAGAGUCAAACAGAACGUGAAAUUGCUGAAAGGGAAGCGUUUGGAGUCAGAUGCAUCCUCAAUGUAAUACGGCUCAGUUGGCAGAGACUGAGAGUCAGUGACUUGAAGAUGGGCCAGCACUCACGUAGAUCAUUGGAGAAGGGGUCAUGGAAUGUAGCUCAAUUCUUGAGUGUUUAUAGCCUUGAUUCAUAUACAAUGUGUCUUAUGUGUGUUAAUUGACAGCACAAGUCUUGACUCAGUGCUUGACUGGCAUAAUGGCUCUAAGCGACCCGUCUUGAAACACGGACCAAGGAGUCUAACAUGUAUGCGAGUAUUAGAGUGAUUGAAACUCUGAAUGCGUAAUGAAAGUGGUCUUGACUGAGAAUCCUUAAUUAUGGGAGGCAUCAGUACCCUGAGUCUGUUAGUCUUUGACUAAAGAUUUGGAGGUAGAGCAUAUAUGUUGGGACCCGAAAGAUGGUGAACUAUGCCUGAAUAGGGUGAAGUCAGAGGAAACUCUGAUGGAGGCUCGUAGCGAUUCUGACGUGCAAAUCGAUCGUAGAAUUUGGGUAUAGGGGCGAAAGACU